AUGCGUCUCGACAGCUACAUAAAUCAUGCUAUGGUGGUCAACAUGAAAGGAAAAGGCUCAGUUGAUGUUUACAUCAGUAAAGGUUCAAACGAACAGAAAGACAAAGGGAAAAAGAAUUCUCAAACAAUAGAUCAUGGGGUAAGAAGAAUAACCAUCAAAUGUGUUCCCAUUGCAAAAAGCGUAACCAUGCAGAAGCCAACUGCUGGUUUAGACCUUCAACUAAGUGCCGAAUCUGUAAUUAGCAUGGUCAUAUAGAAAAGGUGUGCAAGAAUAAGUUUGAAAAUCGAGAGAAAUCUCCUCAAGCAUCUAAGAGAGCUGAGAUUGCUGAAGAAACACUUCUGAUGG
rnacentral:lncRNA from 1 species